UUGGAAUGAUAGAAAUUUAAACCCUUUUUAAAGUAUCAAUUGGAGGGCAAGUCUGGUGCCAGCAGCCGCGGUAAUUCCAGCUCCAAUAGCGUAUAUUAAAAUUGUUGCAGUUAAAAAGCUCGUAGUUGAAGUUCUGCUAAAAGUAACCGGUCUGCUUUUAAUAAAGGUGGUAUCUUGGUGUGUAUUUAGCAAUGAUGUCCUUUGAAGUGUUUUUUACUUUAUUGUAAUAAAGCAUAUUCAGGACUUUUACUUUGAGAAAAUUAGAGUGUUUCUAGCAGGCUAACGCUUUGAAUACUGCAGCAUGGAAUAAUAAGAUAGGAUUUUAGUUCUACAUUAUUGGUUUUAAGAGCUAAAUUAAUGAUUGAUAGGGACAGUUGGGGGCAUUUGUAUUUAACUGUCAGAGGUGAAAUUCUUAGAUUUGUUAAAGACAAACUACUGCGAAAGCAUUUGCCAAAGAUGUUUUCAUUAAUCAAGAACGAAAGUUAGGGGAUCGAAGACGAUCAGAUACCGUCGUAGUCUUAACUAUAAACUA
rnacentral:rRNA from 1 species